GUCUGGUGGAGAAUUGCUGGUCGUGUUUUUUACUCAUCUUUCUGCUCCUAACUGUGGAAAUACCUCAAGGAACUGGGUAAGACUACACCCAGGUAAGACUACACCCAGGUAAGACUACACCCAGGUAAGACUACACCCAGGUAAGACUACACCCAGUCAAAUCCGGAAACAUUAUCUCUAAAUGUCCUGUUUUUCUGUAGGUAAGUUAACUGUCUUUACUAGGUUUACUCUGCAUACUGUUGUGUCCCCUUAACCCCUUAACUGUGUUCAGCCCUACGUCACCAAACCUGCUGCUCUAAGACUUUUCUGCUUUAAUGCUGCAUCACAAAAGUGAACUGACACGCCCCCAUAUCAUAACACAACCUCUUUUCGACUUGUUGCUGUUCAGAACAGUCUGGAUCAUCAUUUUCAUCUCUACUCAGAAGAUCACAAUGCAAAUCGCUUUCAGUUUUUCUUUGAGGAACAUUGUUUUUAAACAUUUCAAUCGUUUUAAAUGUUUUUUUUUUUCACAAACUGCUUAAGUUCAAGGAUUCAAGGAGAUUUUAUUGUCAUUCGCAUCACAUGUGGUGAAUGAGGUGAUCUCUCUAGUUUACACCCAAGAGCUAUUGUUAAAAUAGAUAAUAUAGAUGAAAUAAGAUAACCAAAUAAAAGAAUACAACAAAAAUAGAGUGUAACAAAAUAGAUAA